rfam:Ornithorhynchus anatinus chromosome 6, whole genome shotgun sequence.
AGCAGCGUGGCUCAGUGGAUAGAGCAUGGGCCUGGGAAUCAGAAGGACCUGGGUUUUAAUCCCAGCUCUGCCA